UACAGAGGGUGCGAGCGUUAAUCGGAAUUACUGGGCGUAAAGCGUGCGCAGGCGGUUGUGCAAGACCGAUGUGAAAUCCCCGGGCUUAACCUGGGAACUGCGUUUGAAACCACAAGGCUAGAGUGCGGCAGAGGGGGGUGGAAUUCCACGUGUAGCAGUGAAAUGCGUAGAGAUGUGGAGGAACACCGAUGGCGAAGGCAGCCCCCUGGGUUAACACUGACGCUCAGGCACGAAAGCGUGGGGAGCAAACAGG
rnacentral:rRNA from 1 species